UGCCAGCAGCCGCGGUAAUACGGAGGGUGCAAGCGUUGUCCGGAUUUAUUGGGUUUAAAGGGUGCGUAGGUGGCCUAUUAAGUCAGUGGUGAAAUUUUGCAGCUUAACUGUAAAACUGCCAUUGAUACUGGUAGGCUUGAGUAUUGUUGAGGCAGGCGGAAUUUAUGGUGUAGCGGUGAAAUGCAUAGAUACCAUAAAGAACACCGAUAGCGAAGGCAGCUUGCUAAGCAGUAACUGACACUAAUGCACGAAAGCGUGGGUAGCGAACAGGAUUAGAUA
rnacentral:rRNA from 1 species